rnacentral:sRNA from 1 species
AAACUUUUAAAUUUGUUAAGUUUUAAUAAAUUUAAUUAUAUUUGAAUAUAUUUUACUAAAUUUUGACAAACAUAACAAAUAAUUUGAAUAGUUUAGUUGUUUUAAAUAUUUAGGUCCAAAAUUAAUUGAUAUAUUUAGAUUUAUAAUUAUAAUCUUAGAUAAUUAGAUAAUAUUACGAUUAAAUAUAAUUAAUAUUUUGGAUAUUAAAUUAAUGUUUGGAUUUUUGAAUACUCUUUUUGGGUAACGGGUAAUUUACGGACCAAUCGGAUAUCCACGGGUUUACUAAAACUCUACCCAAUAAGGAAAUUUCCUAAAAUUUUAACCCGCCUUAACCCGGUUUUUUGGUUCGGGUAUUAGGUUGGUUAUCGGGUCCGUUCUUUCGUUAGCCCUAUUAAAGAUAAUCUAAUAUAGGCCCCAAUUAGGUUCACAUAUAUAACCAAAAUACUAUAUAAAGACUAAUUCUAAGUUAAGCCAAAAAUUAUAUCCUUUAAUACAAAGAAAACAUGUUUCUUACCAAAACAACUUGUAUACAAAUUUUACACAUUUACUUAAAA